AUUGUCAUCCACAUUUCAAGAGUUUCCCUAUUACAGCUGCAGCCAUGUUAAAACCCCUGAUUCUUAUCAAAAGUGUUAACCUAUCUAAUUAAUUUCCUUCAGUCAAUAAUAAGUGUUUUAACAUUUAAUAUGUUUCUGGAACAAAUAUAUUAUGCCUUAUAAUUUUGCUUAUCAUACCUAGCUUUUAUUAAUUAUCCUAUCAGCUUCUAACAUACCCUGGAUUGACUAAAAGAGCAAAUUAUUAGACAACUAACAGAAAAAAAUGAGAAAAAAUUUAGAUUAAAAUAUGCCUUAACAAAAUAUGGCAAAAGGAAAAUCUAAGAAAGUUAACCACUAAGAGUGAAGCCGUGUUUUGGCUUAAGGUAAACAGAAUAAAUGGUUAAAAUGGAUGCAACUAUGAAUGGAAAAGUAAAUGAAGUUACAUUUCUAAAUCUUGCAAGUGAGUUUAUUAGACAAUAUUGUCCUGUUUUCGAUUAUUGUGGCUGCUGGAGCCCUUUGUUACUAACUUUGCAUCCAACUCAUCAAAUCAAGACUUUCUACAUCAAAGAAAAAAUACUCUUUUGUUUUUCCUCCUCGUUCUAUGUUUCAUUUUUAAAUCUGUCUGUAUUUGAAAUCUGUGCCAGUAUGAAAUGCUGUAUUAAAGCUCUGAAUCAAGAGGAAGGACACAUGUGAGACACUGGGUAACAGUGCCACUCACUGGACAUGCUUCUAA